rnacentral:misc_RNA from 1 species
GAUGAAGAACGCAGUGAAAUGCGAUAAGUAAUGUGAAUUGCAGAAUUCAGUGAAUCAUCGAAUCUUUGAACGCACAUUGCGCCCGCCAGUAUUCUGGCGGGCAUGCCUGUUCGAGCGUCAUUACAACCCUCAGGCCCCCGGGCCUGGCGUUGGGGAUCGGCGGAGCCCCCCGUGGGCACACGCCGUCCCCCAAAUGCAGUGGCGGUCCCGCCGCAGCUUCCAUCGCGUAGUAGCUAACACCUCGCGACUGGAGAGCGGCGCGGCCACGCCGUAAAACACCCAACUCUUCUGAAGUUGACCUCGAAUCAGGUAGGAAUACCCGCUGAACUUAAGCAUAUAAAUAAGCGGAGGA